ensembl:lncRNA
GUGUCUCCAAACAGCCAUCUCUUUCCUGACAAUUCGCUUUGUGCAUAUUCUCUUACAUAUGAUAAGUCAAUAUUGAAACACCUGCGGCUUUUGGUCAGGUGCGGCUAAUGUAUGUACAAAACAGGAUUUUCCCCUGAUUUUAGCUUGUGCGGCUAAUAUUUAGGUGCGCUCUGUAGUCCGGGAAAUACGGUAAUUAUAAAUAUGCAUAUAAAUAUGCUAGGAUGAGAUAGCUGACUUCAUCUAACUAGCAAAUGUUGUCCAGGCUACGUUGGUGAUGCAGUUUUUUUUAAUGUGUAUGAUAUUUUUGUCAUGCGAUUUUAAAGCCGGUCCUACAACCGCAUCCAAGAAUAACAUGCAGCUUAUCUCAGAACUGUCGGUGAAAAUUAUUCUUGGAGCUAGGUUUAAUUGAGCUGCAUUUUAAAGAGGUGCAAUUUUACAAUUUGUGUAUAUUUUCUAAGUUCACUAUUUUGUCAUGUGUUGAGAAAAACACAGAUUUUAAAAUUACAUGGUCUAAUAUUUACAUUUAGCAUAACUGCAACAUGCUUUUUUUUUUUUUUUUUUUAAAGACUCGAAAGGACUUGAAAUUCAAAGUUUCAGACUUGAGACUUGACUCGGACUUUUACACCAGUGACUUGAGACUCGACUCUGACUUGCCUGACAUUACUUGAGACUUGACUUGAGACUUGAGGAUAAAGACUUGAGACUUACUUGAGACUUGCAAAACAAUGACUUGGGCCCACCUCUGGUUCCUAGCAGCGUUUUGCUUCAUUUUUGCAUUUAUGUGUGGACGUAGCCUUAGAAUAUUUCUGAUUUUUUUUUAAAGCAAGUGUUCAUAGUAUUCUUCACUGACAUUAUUCAUUUCUAGCUGAUACGUGAAUAAAGAUUUUAUGUGGUUUCAUAUUUGCACAGUAUUUGCUCUCAGUGUGAUCCUUGAUGCCCCCUUGCAGCAAGAGCAGCAGUUCGGAAUUUCUGAGUAGUACACCGAAUUUAAAGACAGUUUGUCUUAUGCUGGAUAAACGGUUUAGAAAUGUACUGUAGCUGUAACCUUUUCCAACAUCUCUACGUUGCUUCUUAUUAGUCUAACUUGUUAUGAUUUAGUCAUGACUUGGAUUGGACUAGUAUUGCUAUUUUUUUUUUUUUAUAGGGAGGAUUUACAUGUGACUUACAUGAAAUCACAUCGCUUUUUAUGAAUAAAAAAAGCGCUUCUACACCUGUAUUUCUGUAUUUGCUCAUAUUAUUUGAACACUCUGUUACCUCACAAUAUUGCUAUCUGCUUUCACUCAGUAUGACAGGGCUGUAGUUGAAUGCAAAGACUACAACGCAAGCUACCAAAAUGUCCGGGAAAUGUCAAGAAGAGUGAGGGCUACAGAGGCAGAUGUUCCCAACUCACCUUUCCUGUUGACUGCUCUCCUGUUAUCUUCCUCUCCUAUUCCCCUUA